UACGGAGGGUGCGAGCGUUGUCCGGAAUCACUGGGCCUAAAGGGCGCGUAGGCGGCGCGGGAAGUCAUCGGUGAAAGUUCAGGGCUCAACUCUGAAUCGGCCGGUGAUACUCUCGUGCUCGAGCACUGUAGAGGCAGGUGGAAUUCCGGGUGUAGCGGUGGAAUGCGUAGAGAUCCGGAAGAACACCGGUGGCGAAGGCGGCCUGCUGGGCAGUAGCUGACGCUGAUGCGCGACAGCGUGGGGAGCAAACAGG
rnacentral:rRNA from 1 species